GUGACGUGUCACGUCCAGACCUGGCCCAUAAAAGUCCGCGUCAGCCGCACGCCAGUUUCUCUCCCUUAUUGACUGGUCAGGGGCACGGGGUCCAGCAGACAGCUCCAAAGCCCUAGGAGAUGGCGCAGCCAAGAGGUGGAAGGGCCACCUGCCGAGCAGGAACGGCCACAUCAGAUCUUGCCUCAAUGGAAUAUAUAAAUCCUAUUGGACCAAGCCACUCUGGAGUUGGUCGCGGUGCUAAGCAUUACUUGCCCUACCUAAUACAGGUCUUGAAUAAAUCCUGGAUAAAACAACUGAGAGAAGGCCAUCGUGGUAACACAACCCACACCCCUCCGUGAAACCUGCGCGGUCGCUGCCACCGAAUUUAUCCACAGCUGAUUGUCGUCAAGUGUAGGGAGGGUUGGUGAGUGUAUGCCGGGGUCACAUCAAUUUUUCAUUGGCUUAGUAAUUAACCUUCAAGAUUUUUUAUAUAAAUGUGUUUAAUGUGAGGCGAAUGCUACAAAAUUCUUAUUCCAGAUUGCAAUCAUUUUAGAUAAAUAUUUUCAUGUCAAAAUAUUCUGCCAGAUAUCUUUUAUGCAUGAAUAAUCUGAUCUGAACAAAUUCAUUUCAGAUGCUCACAUAUUACCUUGCCUUUUCGGUUUUUUUUUUUUUAUUGUGGCAAAAUACACAUAACCUAAAUUUACCAUAACUUUUUGAAUGUUCAAUUCAGUGGCAUUAAUAGCAUUCACAGUGUUGUGCGACCAUCACUAUUAUUUCCAAAACUCUUUCGUCCUCUCAAAUGGAUGAUUUAAGUAAUUAAUUCCCCAUGAAGCACUAAUUCCCCACUCCCCUUUUCCCCAACCCCUGGUCACCUCUAGUCUGUCUUCUGUCUCUAUAAAUUUGCCAAUUCUAAAUAUUCCAUGUAAGUGGAAUCAUAAAAUAUCUGUCCUCCUAUGUCUGGCUUAUUUCACUGAGCAUAAUGUUUUCAGAGUCUAUCCACGUUGUGGCGUGGGCCAGAACUUCACCUCUUUCUGUGGCUGCGUAGUACUCCAUGGUACACAUACACCGCAUUGUGUUUAUCCAUUCAUCUGCUGAAGGACAUUACGUUACUUCCACCAUUGGGCUAUUGCGAAUAAUACUGCGAUGUACAAGUAUCUGUUUGAGUUUCUGCUUUCAGUUCCUUUGGGUCUAUAAACUGAGGGAUGGGAUGGCUGGCUCAUACAGUAAUUCAAUGUUUAGCUUUUUGAGAAACUGCCAAACUGUUUUCCAUAGCGAACCUGCAAGAUUUUUAAAAUCCAAGUUUAAGAAAAAAAUGUCAAAGAAGGCGCGUGUUAUGCCCUGGAAAUGCCCGAGUGGUUAGAGUGCCAGGUAGAUCUGGAGACCUUGUUAGCACAGGGUACGCCUCCUAGUCCCUAACCCUUUCUCCUGAGCAGUCUCGCUAAAGCGCUCACACUGGAAUCCUAGAUCCACAGGUGAACUGACCGUGAAGCUGAGAAAGCUCAGGAAGCUUCAGAGCAGCUCACUUCCACCAACUCCUUCCAAGGCUCUGGGAAGGGCCCUUACAAUGCGCUAAGUUACUACUGGUCAUCCCAGUAUGGAAGUACUUCUGGGAAUACUCCUACCACCCACUGUGGAAACUCAGCAACGUGAUGACCCGAAAGAUGUGUGAAAGGGUCUCAUGCUACGUAGCAGAAGAAAAAAGGUUUGACAUGUACAGAGCCAUAAACUAGUCUGUGGUAAAUUUUUUCAAACAUCAAACGUGUAAAAUGACAAGUGGAGAUUUUGCUUUUCAUCAAUGCUGAACCAAAAUGGAAGGCCUCUUCUGGUAGGAUUUAUACUGGAUAAUGCAGCAUAUACAAUUAUGAGUGCACCAUAUAUUUUGUUUCUUUUUAAUGAAAAUUUCACAAAAUAGAAAUGGUGAAAAUUCCUGUAGUUACUGGGCAACUCUAAAUCAUGGUACUCUCAGCAGGGAGGGAAUAUGUUUUUAAAAUUCAUAUAUGAAAGAGACUUGAAAGAGGUCUUUCGAAGUUUGAUGACAAUCGAAAAAAGGGAAUUGUAUUAGCAGUAAUGGUUGAGAAGAUGAAUGAAAUCUUCUAACCUAUCAAUUAUGAAAACCACAUUUGGAUCAGUUAUGCUGGAAGAAAUAACUGAAUUCUCUUUCUCUUCUUUCUGUAGAAAAUAUUAUAGAAUUAUUGUUUUAUAAAGAGGUGUUUGAA